rnacentral:misc_RNA from 1 species
AACGCACAUUGCGCCCCUUGGUAUUCCAUGGGGCAUGCCUGUUCGAGCGUCAUUUGUACCCUCAAGCUCUGCUUAGCAUCUUGGUGUUGGGUGUUUGUCCCGCCCUCGUGCGUGGACUCGCCUUAAAGUGAUUGGCAGCCGGAAUAAUUCUGGGGAACGCAGCACAACUGUAGCCUCCAUUUUAUACGCCGAGCGUCCAGUAAGCCUUUUUUCUUGCGUUUGACCUCGGAUCAGGUAGGGAUACCCGCUGAACUUAA